rnacentral:lncRNA from 1 species
ACAGAGUGUGCACUAUCAUCGUAACAGCAGAGACGGAGAGCAAGAUGUGAGGAGGUUAAAAGUCAGGGUCAGAAGUUCAGGUUGCUCUGACCCUCAAAUCAAUUUCAAGCACUGUUUGUGACAUUUUCCUGUGUUCCCUCGCUUGAUGUUAGUCUUUGCAAUGAACCACCGAAUCAGACUUCAGGGCUCAUGGGACUUUGGGGUUUCAGUAGGGUCAGGUCAAUUUCUACCUACCAGUGUACUGUCACCUAUGAGGCAAACCAUUAUCUAGGCGUUUGAGAACCUCAAAGUUUUGAAGCUCUGAGGGGAAAGAGAGAGGAUGAAGCGCUGGGGCCCCUGUGUCUUUGGGGCCUGACAUAGCUCAACCUGUGGCUUCAGGGGGACCGUGUGCAGCCAGGUCACAGUGGUACCGGAAAGGGAUCCUGAUCCAGACCCCAAGAGAGGGUUCUUGGAUCUCGUGCAAGAAAAAAUUCAGGCUGAUGGCACUAAGGCUGAACCCAGAAGCUGCAGCAGUGGACGGAUGAUGAUCUGAAGAAAUGAGAUCCCUGAUGGGCUUGGAAGUCAUGGUUCCUGUAACCAUGAUGUCACACCCUCGUCCUGACACCGAGAUGGGCUGGACACAUCUGUCACCCAGGGCAAACAAAAUGCUUGGUCUGCAUCUUUCAGAAGAAAACUAAAAAUCAAGUAAUUUCUUAGAAGUUUGCUUGCGUGUGGCUUAAGUCUUCUUCUCCUGUUGAGGAAGGUGUUGAGUUUGACCAUGACAGCCCCACCCAGUCCUUGGCUCAUCUCACCCAUCAAAGAGGAUCUGGAGAUUCAGAGCUAUGCCGUGGAAGACCUUGUCAGAGCACCAGGCCAUACUGUGCUGCAGGUGGGGUUCAGGUGCCCAGUGACAACCACCGGGGCCGCUCAUCCCUAAACGUCUGUUGAACUUAAAGUUCUACUCAAGACUUUCUACAUUAAAUACCCUUUCAUACAGCAAAAUCAGCCAUGUUCUGAGAUGUGAAACUGCAGCACAAAGUUACUGUGGUCUCCACCUAUAGAAAUGGAAUGUUACUUCAUAAAGCCCCAGGCCAAAAAAGAAACCCCAAAACUCUGAAACGACACCCUUAAAUUUAACCUGAACAUCUGGCCAGCCUCCUCCAUCAUUGAAACUUCUCCUGAGUGUUGGCAUGGAUCCUAUGUUUCUCCAGCCAGGGAGCUUUGCUCCCCAUUCUUGAUGGACCCACUGAGUCCCAAUUUUCUACAUUUUACUUGGGUCAUUCCACCACUUUGGGAUGCUUUUCCUACUCUGUUGUACUUUAAAAAUGUUUCUUCUUUCCUAUUCUCAGCUUCACGCAUUUGUCUUCUUUCUCAAUUCAACUUGCUUAGUUCUCGCUACAUCAAUUCCUAGAGCCAUCCAUCUGCACUUCUGAAUCAUUUAAGUUUUGUUUGGCUACAAGUAAUGGAAACCCACUCUGAGUAACUCAAGCAAGAACUGGAAUUUAUUGGAAGGACAGUGGGAUAUAUCAUAAGAUCCAAAAAGAAUUGAACAAAUAAAAUUUCAGAGGGAAGAAAAAGGGCAGCUCCAGUGACUUCAGCAACAAGACAACAUAAGUCUUUCUAGAGCAUAGCUACUAAUAUUAUUCAGCUGCAAGAGCCCCUCCCCAUGAGAAACUUGAUUGAAAAUUCUGAUUUCCCACAGAGAAGAAUCUGAUCGACUCAGUUUAGCUUUGGUUGCCCAACUGCUCAAUCUUGCAUGAAUUAUUUCCAGCCAAGGGGACAAGGUGUAUUAUAGGGACACACCUGCUUUCUCCAAAGAAAAGAUCUGGGCAUUUCCUGAUCAUUUCCCUGAGAAGGAGGAAUCAUUGUGAGCCAAGAAGAUACCUCAAGUAUAAUGAGCUCAGUUACACUUUUUUGAUAUCUGAGUAUUUGGUAUGUAGUGUGCAUUUUAAAAAACAUGUCUCUCUCCAGGACAAUGUUAACCUCUUCCACGGUGGAGUGGGGCUAUGUGAUUUUGUGCUUAAUUUACCUAGCUGGUGGGCCUCCAGUAGAGGCUGUAGUCGAGCCAGCUGAUACCACAUCAGUUCUCCAAAGGAACAAAAGCUGCCCUUCCUUCCUUAUUGCAAAGUUUGACAAAAAGCAAAACGUGAAGAAUAAAAGCGACUUGCAUUGUCUAACAUCUACCGCAGUGUUUGAGCUGCAGCUGCUCCUCCUCCCCUGAUUGUUUUCAAAUAUUUCUUCAAAAAAGGCAUUAAAGAAAAACACAAGAUAUUGCACAGGGAACCAAAACAAAUCACAAUCUUCAAGGACAAAGCAUUGCAAAAUGGCUUACAUCCCCAAAUGGGAACAGAUAUGGUUGGAAAUUAAAACAAUCUUUUUUAUUUUAAGCGGAAAUGCUAGCAGAUGCCACAAGAAACAUAUGGAACUCGCCACAGACAAAUAGGGAAUGCUUUCUGCGUGUGGAAGUAGAGCAAAGGGAGUGACCACCUCUGACUGUCAGGGGGAACCAUCAGCUCGAACUGUUUGCUAUGGCAGGAGGGAGUUUGCAGAGUCCGGAGUCCUGCCCUCAUGAAAAAGCUUUAACGGUCUUGACUGAGUAAUUUAAGUCAUUCUUGUCAGGGAGUUUCAGAACACUAUGCACAAUUAUAUUUAUUUCACAAUGCAUUGAUUCCAGAUAUCUUUUUAAAUGUGCUUACCUCUGUGUGCGUUGUUACCUGUUCCCUCUUUGAAUCUCUGAAUGAAACAAAAUAAAUAGGAAAAAAUGGAGACAUAGAAGCAUUGUCCACAAGGCAUCUCCCACUCUAGAGGUCUCCCAGCCCCGUGCUAGCUUGUUAAUUUAUUAUCGCUUGUCUGUCAAACAAGGAAGAUAUAAUUUGCCACACAACAUGUUUUCCUAAAGCAAUGUUUUUGUACAAUUUCCUGAUUUCCAAAAAUAUGACCAAUGAUAUUCUGGUUG